rnacentral:rRNA from 1 species
GACGAACGCUGGCGGCGUGCUUAACACAUGCAAGUCGAACGGAAAGGCGCUGCUUUUGUGGGGCGCUCGAGUGGCGAACGGGUGAGUAACACGUGAGUAACCUGCCCUUGACUUUGGGAUAACUUCAGGAAACUGGGGCUCAUAUAGGAUAGGAGCUCCUGCUGCAUGGUGGGGGUUGGAAAGUUUCGGCGGUUGGGGCUGGACUCGCGGCUUAUCCGCUUGUUGGUGGGGUAGUGGCUUACCAAGGCUUUGACGGGUAGCCGGCCUUAGAGGUGGACCGGCCACAUUGGGACUGAGAUACGGCCCAGAAGCCUACGGGAGGCAGCAGUGGAGAAUAUGGCACAGUGGGCGGAAGCCUGAUGCAGCAACGCCGCGUGCGUGAUGACGGCCUUCGAGGUGUAAACCGCUUUCGCCGGUGACGAAGCGGGAGUGACGGUAAUUGGUAAGGAAGCACCGGCUAACUACGUG